rnacentral:rRNA from 1 species
AAUACAGAGGUGGCGAGCGUUGUUCGGAAUUACUGGGCGUAAAGCGCACGUAGGCGGCUUUGUAAGUCAGAGGUGAAAGCCUGGAGCUCAACUCCAGAACUGCCUUUGAGACUGCAUCGCUUGAAUCCAGGAGAUGUGAGUGGAAUUCCGAGUGUAGAGGUGAAAUUCGUAGAUAUUCGGAAGAACACCAGUGGCGAAGGCGGCUCACUGGACUGGUAUUGACGCUGAGGUGCGAAAGCGUGGGGAGCAAACAGGA